AUUGAACGCUGGCGGCAUGCUUUACACAUGCAAGUCGAACGGUAACACGCUUUCGGCUGCUGACGAGUGGCGGACGGGUGAGUAAUGCAUCGGAACGUGCCCAGAGGUAGGUGUUAACGCAGCGUAACCUGUGCUAAUACCGCCUGUGAUCUCAUGAGGAAAACGGGUGACCACGCAGCAACGUUUGGCCUCGCGCCUUUGGAUCGGCCGAUGUCAGAUUAGGUAGUUGGUGGGGUAAAGGCCCACCAAGGCGACGAUCUGUAGCUGGUCUGAGAGGACGAUCAGCCACACUGGAACUGAGACACGGUCCAGACUCCUACGGGAGGCAGCAGUGGGGAAUAUUGGACAAUGGGCGCAAGCCUGAUCCAGCAAUGCCGCGUGGGUGAAGAAGGCCUUCGGGUUGUAAAGCGCUUUUGUACGGAAAGAAAAGGAUCUGGCUAAUACCUGGGGGUGAUGACGGUACCGAAAGAAUAAGCACCGGCUAACUACGUG
rnacentral:rRNA from 1 species